CAAGAAGGAGUUUGAGGAGAAUACGAGUUUUGGGGAUUUGGGGUCUUCGGGUUGGAGCUUUUUGA
rnacentral:tRNA from 1 species